rnacentral:rRNA from 1 species
CUAGUUCUCGGGGUCGAUUUAGCCAUGCUAGUUGUACGAGUUCAGACUCGUAGCAGAUAGCUCAGUAACACGUGGCCAAACUACCCUAUGGAUCAGAACAACCUCGGGAAACUGAGGCUAAUUCUGAAUACGAUUCUCCUGCUGGAACUGCAGAGAAUCCGAAACGCUCCGGCGCCAUAGGAUGUGGCUGCGGCCGAUUAGGUAGACGGUGGGGUAACGGCCCACCGUGCCGAUAAUCGGUACGGGUUGUGAGAGCAAGAGCCCGGAGACGGUAUCUGAGACAAGAUACCGGGCCCUACGGGGCGCAGCAGGCGCGAAACCUUUACACUGCACGCCAGUGCGAUAAGGGGACUCCGAGUGCGAGGGCAUAUAGUCCUCGCUUUUCACCACCGUAAGGUGGUGGUGGAAUAAGUGCUGGGCAAGACCGGUGCCAGCCGCCGCGGUAAUACCGGCAGCACGAGUGAUGACCGCUAUUAUUGGGCCUAAAGCGUCCGUAGCUGGCCGCGCAAGUCUAUCGGGAAAUCUGCUCGCCUAACGAGCAGGCGUCCGGUGGAAACUGUGUGGCUUGGGACCGGAAGAUCCAGAGGGUACGUCCGGGGUAGGAGUGAAAUCCUGUAAUCCUGGACGGACCGCCGGUGGCGAAAGCGCUCUGGAAGGACGGAUCCGACGGUGAGGGACGAAAGCUCGGGUCACGAACCGGAUUAGAUACCCGGGUAGUCCGAGCUGUAAACGAUGUCUGCUAGGUGUGCCACAGGCUACGAGCCUGUGGUGUGCCGUAGGAAGCCGAGAAGCAGACCGCCUGGGAAGUACGUCCGCAAGGAUGAAACUUAAAGGAAUUGGCGGGGGAGCACUACAACCGGAGGAGCCUGCGGUUUAAUUUGGACUCAACGCCGGACAUCUCACCAGCAUCGACAAUGUGCAGUGACGGUCAGUGUGAUGAGCUUACCUGAGUCAUUGAGAGGAGGUGCAUGGUCGCCGUCAGCUCGUACCGUGAGGCGUCUUGUUAGUCAGCAACGAGCGAACCCGCACCCUUAAUUGCCAGCAGCACCGUUGUGGUGCCUGCUACAUUAGAGGACUGCCAAUGCAAACUUGGAGAGGACGGCACGUUAGUCACUAUUGCUCGAAUGUGCUGACGAACUCUGCAUCAUGGCCCGAACAGUGAAUGCACCGAAGGAACCUAACUCGACUGUCGUAUCGGAUGAGCCUGAACUGACCAUGUGAGCUGAUACUGUAGCUAC